UACGUAGGGUCCAAGCGUUGUCCGGAUUUAUUGGGCGUAAAGAGCUCGUAGGCGGCUCAGUAAGUCGGAUGUGAAAACUCGGGGCUCAACCCCGAGACGCCAUCCGAUACUGCUGUGGCUUGAGUCUGGUAGGGGAACACGGAAUUCCUGGUGUAGCGGUGAAAUGCGCAGAUAUCAGGAGGAACACCGGCGGCGAAGGCGGGUCUCUGGGCCAUAACUGACGCUGAGGAGCGAAAGCGUGGGGAGCGAACAGG
rnacentral:rRNA from 1 species